rnacentral:misc_RNA from 1 species
UCCUUUUUGAAACGCAAGGUUUCAGCACGCACAACUGGAGAGUUUAUAAGGUAUAUUCUUAAAGCAUCAGCUCCAUAAUCAUUGAUGACCUCCAUAGGCGAUGGAUAGUUUUUCAAUUUUUUACUCAUCUUUUUUCCAUCCUCUGCCAGGACAAGUCCAUUGCAAACAAGAUUCCUAAAUGCGGGCUUCCCAAAUAAUGCAGUAGACAACACCAUAAGAGUAUAGAACCAUCCACGAGUUUGAUCUAGCCCUUCAGCAAUGAAUUGCCCAGGAAAAUUUUUCUCAAAAAGUUCAACAUUCUCAAAUGGGUAAUGGAUAUAAGCAUAAGGCAUUGACCCACUCUCAAACCAACAAUCAAAU